rnacentral:rRNA from 1 species
UACGGGGGGGGCAAGCGUUGUUCGGAAUUACUGGGCGUAAAGGCUCGUAGGUGGCCAACUAAGUCAGACGUGAAAUCCCUCGGCUUAACCGGGGAACUGCGUCUGAUACUGGAUGGCUUGAGUUUGGGAGAGGGACGCGGAAUUCCAGGUGUAGCGGUGAAAUGCGUAGAUAUUCGGAAGAACACCAGUGGCGAAGGCGGCUCACUGGCCCGUUACCGACGCUCAGGCGCGACAGCGUGGGGAGCAAACAGG